UAUUUAUGUGCCGUUGCAUAUCUGUUUUUCUUUUCUGGGAAAAUGCUAUAUUAUGGCCAUGUUCGUUUGCUUGUCGCUGGUAACUGAAACCAGCGACAGCGACCAAAAGUUGUUUGUUUGCCUAUCGCUGAUUCAGCGACAAAAAUUAGCGACAGUCGCCAGCGACUGCAAUUUUUAGUCGCUGAAAUUUUUAGCGAUCAGUCGUUGGUUUCAGCGAUUAGUUGCUGCUUUUGGUCGCUGGAUCCAGCGACAUGCAAACGAACAACUUUGCGAUCAAAAAAUAAAAAUUAAA
rnacentral:sRNA from 1 species